ensembl:lncRNA
AUUCUUUUAGCUCUGCAACUAUGUCACUGCCUUUGCCUUGCUUCCUCUCACGCCAUUGAUCUCUGUGUUUCAUUAUGAUCUAUGAAUGCUUGGAGAGUUUACCACCUGACUUGCCCAGCUCUGCUCACAUGUGAGUCCCAUCAUGUAUCCAGACCUGGCCCUCCUCAAACCUGCUCCCUGGGCCCCUGCAGCUGAUGGCUCUGUGUUCCUCCCUGAUCCCUCACAUCUGUUUCAAUUAGCUUCCUUACUAUAUAGGAAAUGCAUCUCAGUGCUAUUGGCUUCACUACAGACCCUGGUUCGAUUCCAGGCUGUGAUUCACAACUGGCCGUGAUUGGGGGUCCCAUAGGGCGGCGCACAAUUGGCCCAGCAUCGUCCGGGUUAGGGUUUGGCCGGGGUAGG